rnacentral:rRNA from 1 species
AACGAACGCUGGCGGCAUGCCUAACACAUGCAAGUCGAACGGACCCUUCGGGGCUAGUGGCGCACGGGUGCGUAACGCGUGGGAAUAUGCCCUUCUGUUCGGAAUAAUUCUCGGAAAGGGGGGCUAAUACCGGAUACGCUCUUCGGGGCAAAGAUUUAUCGCCGAUGGAUGGGCCCGCGUUGGAUUAGGUAGUUGGUAGGGUAAUAGCCUACCAAGCCGACGAUCCAUAGCUGGUCUGAGAGGAUGAUCAGCCACACUGGGACUGAGACACGGCCCAGACUCCUACGGGAGGCAGCAGUGGGGAAUAUUAGACAAUGGGCGAAACCCUGAUCCAGCAAUGCCGCGUGAGUGAUGAAGGCCUUAGGGUUGUAAAGCUCUUUUAGCCGGGAAGAUAAUGACAGUACCGGGAGAAGAAGCUCCGGCUAACUCCGUG